GAUGAACGCUGGCGGUAUGCUUAACACAUGCAAGUCGAACGGACUCUUCGGAGUUAGUUGCGGAAGGGUGAGUAACGAGUGAGAAUCUGGCUUUGGGUUCGGGACAACCACUGGCAACGGUGGCUAAUACCGGUUGUGCUGAGAGGUAAUAGAGACAUUGCCUGAAGAUGAGCUCGCGUCUGAUUAGUUAGUUGGUGAGGUAAAGGCUCACCAAGGCAGCGAUCAGUAGCUGGUCAGAGUGGAUGACCAGCCACACAGGGACUGAGACACGGCCCAGACUCCUACGGGAGGCAGGGGGGGGGAAUUAUCCGCAAUGGGCGAAAGCCGGACGGAGCAAUAGCGCGGGAGGGAAGAAGGCGCGUGGGUAGUAAACCUCGUUUCUGAGGGAGGAACAAAGUGACGGUACCUAAGGAAGCAGCAUCGGCUAACUCCGUG
rnacentral:rRNA from 1 species